AGAAUAAGUGAAUUAAUGGAAGUAACUUACAUCAAGAACUGACUAUGGUCUAGAGAUUUGAGUUUUAGUUUGAUUAGUAUUUUGUAUAUUACAUGACAUUAAAUCUUGUAAGUGAAGAAAAUGAGAAUCAACAAGGUUAUAUAACCUCUCACAAUAGCACAAGUUAUGAAAUGAUGGACUCACCUACCAAUAUACUGUCAUUUUAUUACUUUUAUUCCCUUAUAAUAUUUAUACAUAUCACAAAUGCCAAUCUCGUUAGCCGUAAUUGGCCUAUCAAGAGUAUGAUAGGUGUAUAUAGUCAGUAGCUUCCUUUCACGUAUGGUUUGAAAGAGGGAAGCCAGUAGUCUAUAAUCUAAAAUAGCAAAAUUCUGUGCACUAGGGAAUCCUGGCUCUUCUGCAUCCAUGAAAGGCAGGAUUCCUGAGCAGACCACUGAUUUCCUUCUGGUGGCAGUCAAUCAUCAGGGACCUAUAAUGGCCACACAUAGCAGGAAGGACAGUGUCACUAUUCUCCAGAACUUCUCUUUUCAACUUUGACUUCCCAGACUCUGGGCCUUGAUUAGCUAGAACUGUGGCUCUUGCCAGCUGUGCUUGGCGUUACCUGACUUCCCUGGACUCCAGCCUAAUGGAUAACAGCCUGUGCCCCUCCCCGCCUUGUGUCUCCCUCCCCUAGGUUUCCUGAGGCUCUUGAGAAGUAAGGUAUCUGCCAGAAUCUACCUGGCUAGUUGGACUCCUCUGCCUGUUCACUUGGCCUGCAUAACCUCAUAACCACCUAAGCAGUGAACUGCAGAAAACAUUAGGAGUCCUAAAAAAUAAAUGGAAAAUAAAUUAGCUCUUAUUCUAAACUGCCGUCUUUGUUACUAUAUUAUAAUACUGAUAUGGGUCUUCUCUCUGUUCAGAUAGGCCUAAGAGAUGGCUCUUCAAGAAUAUAAUGAGUAUCAAGUGACUCUUUUCUUUUAUCUGCAGGUAUCUGACAUUUGCAAAAAGACUGUAAUGUGUGUGUGUGUGUGUGUGUGUGUGUGCGUGCGCACGUGGUGUGGGUGUGUACUGGAUCAACUCUGAGUUGUUCUAAGUGUUGUUAAAUGUUAGCUUGAACUGAAAUGAGAUGGUCUUGUGAAAAAUAAAAUGAAAUCUAAACUGUAAAUAUUGAUGAAAACCAAAUAAGCCACUAUGUGAAUAGUGUUCCUGCCAUCCACAGUAAGCAUCUUUACAUAGGAUAACUUAGUGACUACCACAGUUUAGAAUGAGCAAUUAAAAAAUUGUCACCAGUUUUUAAUGUCUUCAGGGGAUUAUUGUUUUCCUUGUCAAGGAGAAAGAGGGAGAGGGAGGGAAAAUGGUAAUUAAUUUUCUCUAAUAAGAACUUAAUGUUACCUAUACUGUCUCACUGCAAAAUGAUGUGUACUAAAAAACAUGCAUUCUUUAAUGUGAAUUGUAUUCAUCAUUAAAGCUAUUUCAAAGUCCUCAUGGGAAAGGCAGAGUGUUUUCUGGUUUCUAACGUGUGAAACCGAACAACAGGCAGAUAAAAUCUGGGAAGUUGUUCAACUGAACUAAUUUAUUUUAAAUGCCUGAUAUUAAAUAUUUGAUUAAAAUUUUCUUUACCAACACUCAGUUUAGAAUAGUAGAAAAUGUUAAUUUCAGAAUGUCUCAGACACUAAAGAUACUUGCAUGUUGUAACUAAAUUGGUUUAUACAGAAAAAAGAUAUUUUCAGACUACAUCAGAACUAAAACUGUUGGCAACUGGGAGUUUUGUGAAUUUGUGGGAAGGCAGCAUGGCUUAUAAAAUGAGCAGAGCACUGGGAACAAGAAUUGCAUUUGACUUCUGGUUCCAACUCUGCCGAUAACUAGUUUUGGUGAGCUUGGGGAGGUCAUUUGACCUCUGUAGACCUCACAUUUUUCUCACUGCAAAUAAGGGGCUGGGCUCUGACUUCUAAGGUCAAAUAAAGUUAUGAAAUCAUGUGAUUUUUCUAGAAGUUUCUUUCAAAAUACACAUUUCUCUUUUAUUUAUGUCUGGGCCUAUCCUACAGGUAUUAUUGGACUUUAUCCAGUCAUAGCUGAAGCAAACAAUACAGCCACUGAAAAGCUACUUGCGUCACUUGGUUUUAUUUUUUCAUGCUCAAACAAUACCUGGCAAAUAAAGAAAGGUUCCCGAAUUGUGAUUGGCACAAUGAUACAUGGUCAGCUGCACUGAGAAUUUAAGCAAACUAUAUAUAUCAUCAGGGUGCAGAAUGAAGGUGAGGGCUGAUCUGCAAUUACUUGCAUGUGUGAACCAAGCCAAUGUUGUAAAUUGUGGGGGUGGGCCAAAGGCCAAAAGCCCAACUGUGUUAACACAGUUCCUUUAUGCAUAUUUCCAGUGCUGUUAUUUUAGCACAAUUUCCAUCCUCUCCUAUUCACUGGCUUUCCCACUAGAAUGAACACAAGGUCAGCAACUUUUUCUACCCCAACUUCCCCUAGAUCUUCUAUGGCUUUUACCACUGUCAUCCACACUUUAUUCUUUAUGUCCUCUUAUUUCUGUGGCAUCCCGUAACCUUCUACUUUGGCUUUCACUCUUCUCUUUAUACCUUAAGUUUAGCCACAAUAUAAGAUAUAUUCCUAGACCAUCUGCACUUUUGUAUUGGCUCUCACUCCCUUAGAGUUUUCUUAACAAAUUGUCACUGAUAUCCAUGAGGACGCAGGUUCGAUCCCCAGCCUCACUCAGUGGGUUAAGGAUCUGGCGUUGCCAUGAACUGUGGUGUAGGUCACAGACACAGCUUGAAACCCACAUUGCUGUGGCUGUGUUGUAAGGCCAGCAGCUGUAGCUUCAAUACAACCCCUAGCCUGGGAACUUCCAUGUGCCA
ensembl:lncRNA